rnacentral:lncRNA from 1 species
GAAAUUAUUUCCCAUCAUCAAUUCUAUCUCUAGCAUUCAAUAAACAAAGUCUAGUUCUAUAAGAAUAUGCUUCCCUGAUUAAUAAUUGUAAAGCUCAGCACUCAAAAUACUUACGUAAAAGGGUUUUGCAUAUCAACAACACAUUUAUGUUUACAAAACCCAUUUUAGAUACCAUUCAUUAAGUUUCUGACCCCAAAUUAAUUGA